rnacentral:rRNA from 1 species
CCUACGGGAGGCAGCAGUGGGGAAUAUUGCACAAUGGGGGAAACCCUGAUGCAGCGACGCCGCGUGAAGGACGAAGUAUUUAGGUACGUAAACUUCUAUCAGCAGGGGAGUAAAUGACGGUACCUGACCCAGAAGCCCCGUCUAACUAAGUGCCAGCAGCCGCGGUAAUACGUAGGGGGCCAGCGUGAUUCGGCUUUACUGGGUGUAAAGGGAGCGUAGACGGGCAUGCAAGCAUGAUGUGAAAACCCGGGGCUAAACCGCGGGAGUGCAUUGGAAACUGGGCGGCUGGAGUGUCGGAGAGGCAAGUGGAAUGCGUGGUGUAGCGGUGAAAUGCGUAGAUAUUAGGAGGAACACCGAUGGCGAAGGCAGCUUGCUGGACGACGACUGACGUUGAGGCUCGAAAGCGUGGGGAGCAAACAGGAUUAGAUACCCGAGUAGUC